rnacentral:rRNA from 1 species
GUUUCACUAAGGGCCCAUAAAUUCAAGGUAUGUUAGCUAUCUGUCGCUCUAUGGACCCCUUAACCGAGUUAAAUCGAGUUAAGCGCGCGUCUUUAUUUAAAGAGUUUAAGACAUUGCGCAUGCUGUUGGGCUCUGAAAGCAACGAACGUGACCGCAACGUCUUGUUGCCUUAAUAAAGUUGUGUUAAUAGCAAUAUUAACCGAUUGCUUACAGAGGCUAUUUAAAACUAGACGGACCGCUGUUUCUUUUCUUAAACCAGAGGAAGGUUGCGGCAAUAACAGGUCUGUGAUGCCCUUAGAUGUUCCGGGCUGCGCACGUGCUACAAUGAUCAGUACAGUGAGCAUCUCAAUAUAAUACACCGUCUUUAGCGCUUAGACGCGAUUAUCGGCUUACUUUUUAUUAAGGAGGUCUGUUUAAUCGAUGUUUUCUAAUGUGCGCGGUAAAGCCUGCUUCGAGAGUAAGCGGGUAAUCCAUUGGAAGUAAUGAUUUCUCUAUAUCUAGUGCACAACUAUGCACGGCACUCAUUCCCGAGACGGCUAGUUUCGUCUUUUAGUGUGAAUGUGGUGUUAUUCAAACGUGCGUGCAAUUGUCAAUUCAUGGUGGGGACAGACCAUUGUUAACUGUUGGUCUCGGUCUUAACUAGGAAUGCCUUGUACGGGUCUUUGGUUCAACAAACCACCCGGAAUACGUCCCUGCCCUUUGUACACACCGCCCGUCGCUCUUACCGAUGGACUUUUUUGUGAGUCUAAGGGACUGGGUUAAACCGUUCGUUUAUUCGGAUGGCAGUACCUAUGGAAACUUAUGUGAACAAAGUGGUCUAAAGGAAAGAGAAGUCGUAACAAGGC